rfam:Rachicladosporium sp. CCFEE 5018 unplaced genomic scaffold Supercontig_7, whole genome shotgun sequence.
UUGAAUGAUGAUCGAAAUUUUUAUAUACGCAAAAAAGGAAUUACCGACCGAGACCUUCGGGUCGCUGGUGAGAACACGGCUAACCUGAUU